CUCCCCACUCUCGAUCCUCUCUGGAAUGCUCCCAUGGCAGCCUUUCCCCCCGCUUAAUAACCAGGGUCUCCAAAAAGUUCCCGUUCGAGUUCUCCCUGUGCUCUACGCCUGUUUCCCCGCCCACGGAUUUCCCUUAGUUUCUGCGAAUGGUUUCUGUUAAACCCAGUUCUGUUCACGUUUUUGUUCCUUCUAAUAAAUUAUACAUAGUUCGA